rnacentral:lncRNA from 1 species
GCACUAACCGAGCGCAGCAUCAGCUGCAGCAUCUCACAGUGACUGGUGCCAGGCCCGCAGCCCAGCACUCCACCUGUGGAGGCUCCUCUAGGACAGCAUUGCUGUGAGGUGGCCACAGCCAGACUCACUGAGAGUGAGAAUCUGAGGCUCCAAAGGGACAAGAGACUUGCUGAAGGACACGGAAAGGCGUCAUAACCUAGGGCUGUCUGCUGACGCCUCAAGAAGUCCCCUAAAUGACAGACCAUCCACCAAAGACACAGCUGAUUCCCAGCACCCCACUCGCCUGGCAUAUCCUGCCUCCCACAGGACCCCACGGUGGCAAGGAGCACAACUAGAAACACUGGUGCAUUAGGUGUGGAUUGUGAAUGCCACAAAACUAAAUGCUGAGGAAUGACCCCAAUACCAACAGGGAUUGGUGCGGUUGUUCCACAUGGUGUCUGGAUCUCUCAGAAUACGUGGCUGACCAGAAGAUGUUCUCAAGAGCUUGGGUCACUCAUCACUGCACCUCAUUUUCUGAGGAGUGGGAACAGCAAACACACGCACAGAUAUGGCUGUGGUGAGUGAUGAGAAAGUCAAUGUAUGUAAAGCAUCCAGUGGCUAUGGGAUUUUCUUUGAGGAUGUGGCACUUACAAUUGUGCUGUGUAACUAGGGCAUAUCUAUGGAGAACUGACUUUCUCUGUCAUACACACUCCCGACACAUUCACAAUAACAUCCCACAGACUCACAUGCAGGCACCCCUAAG